rnacentral:rRNA from 1 species
ACUUCGGUUGAUCCUGCCGAAGGCUACUGCUAUUGGAGUUCGAUUAAGCCAUGCGAGUCUAAGGGAUCUUCGGAUCCCUGGCGUAAUGCUCAGUAACACGUGGAUAAUCUACCCUCAGGUGGGGCAUAAACCCGGGAAACUGGGGCCAAUUCCCCAUAAAUACAGAUGGCUGGAAUGCUUCUGUAUUCAAAGCUCCGGCGCCUGAGGAUGAGUCUGCGGCCUAUCAGGUUGUAGUCAGGGUCAAGACCUGACUAGCCAGCGACGGGUAUGGGGUGUGAGAGCACUUGCCCAGAGAUGGUUUCUGAGACACGAAACCAGGCCCUACGGGGCGCAGCAGGC